UUCCAGGACAGCCAGGACUAUACAGAGAAACCCUGUCUCAACAAAACAAAACAAAACUGCCGGGCUUGAUGGCACACACCUUUAAUCCCAGCGCUUGGGAGGCAAAGGCAAGUAAAUUUCUGAGUUCGAGGCCAGCCUGGUCUACAGAGUGAGUUCCAGGGCAGCCAGGGCUACACAGAGAAACCCUGUCUCCAAAAACAAAAAAAAACCAAACAAAAAAAAAACCAAACAAACAAAAAAAAAAAAACAACAAAAAAGGAAAAGGAAAAAUGAAAAGGAAAAGAAAAAGAAAGAAAGCAAUAUGAGCAAGCCAGGGGAAGCAAGCCUGUAAGUAACAUCCCUCCAUGGCCUCUGCAUUGGCUCCUGCUUCCUGUCUGUCUUGCUUGAUUUCCAGUCCUGACUUCCUUUGGUGAUGAACAGCAAUGUAGAACUAAAAGCUGAAUAAAACCUUUCCUCCCCAACUUGCUUCUUGGUCAUGAUGUUUUGUGCAGGAAUAGAAACUCUGACUAAGACACACACAACUUUUAAAAAUGGGACUAGAAACAGGAGUCCACAUGCACCAUAUCCUCUUCCCAGAGCGCUCUAGCUGUCUGCUUAUUCUUUAGGCCUCUCCUGCUGGCUUUCCAUGUGGAGCCCCAUUGAUGCAACACCACUUGCCGACAUUGUUUCUUCAUUGUACCUUCAGGCUCUGUGUUCUUGCCUUAGAUAAGGCAAUGUAUCAGUGAAAACAACCUAGAGAUUUGGAUAAUUUUACUAAACCCCUGACAGCUGGCACAUUAUCUGGUCAGCACAUUCCUUACUAUACUUGAUGCCCGUGACAAUCAAAAUUCACUGGCAGACGAUACCUCCAGCCCACUACACUUUUCUCUUUACUAUUUCUCAGUUGGAACCAUGAUCUAGACUCAUCACUGGAGGUGUUUAAAGCCUCAGGAGAGAGGGGCAGAGUGUACAAAUAUCCCCAUUAGGCUUCCAAGUUUGUUUUUGUUUUUAAAUGCUAACUUUCUUUUGGCCCUCCCCACUUCUCUAACACCACCAAGCCAAGAAUACAAAGCUGUCUAGCACGCAGGGCUCCUUGUGUCCAGUGAUGUCACUCUGUGCCUUCUUCUUCGAAUGAAGCUCUCAGACAUCUAAACUAUAACUGGGAUUUCUCCUGCUCACCCACCCCCCACCCUGUGGCAGUGACACAGAUCAGGAAAGCAAUACUCCCUUUGUUCCCCAUGGCUCCCAGCAGCCAUGUCAAGUAAUUCUAUACUUAUCUCUAUACUUACCGUGCUCGUUCUUUCUCCUGUUUAGCCAUGUCUGAGAGUCUUACAUCACUGGUGUAGCAUAUGAUACUGUCAUAUUCAAUCAUAAUAUUUAGGUAACAUUGGAAUGUGCAGAAAUCCUAUUCUCUGUUACUGUUCCUCCCUUUAACACCAUGGCAAUAAUGAGUUCAUCAUUGCUGCUCACGCUUAGCGACUGGGCAGUGAAUUUACGACUACACCGAGUCAUACAUCACCCUUUGAGUCCUCCGUGACUUUUUAAAGUUUGAUGACUUGAAGUUUGUCAAGAAAACCUUGCAUUGCUCUCAUAGCAUUAAGAUUCUAUAGUCAGGAAGCUCUUUCUGGAGCCAGACUUGGUGGUAUGAAGCUAUAAUCUGUGUACUGAGAAGGACGAUGCAAGAGGAUCAGGAGUUUAAGACCAUUGCCAGUCUUGGCUCUAUAAUAUUCUCAUUAAGAACAAGUGGUUCUUGGAAAGUCAGGAACGUAAAAGGGAGGAACCCGAAAAUAAGUGUGCAAAGAGGAAGGGCAGAGUAUUCCCAGAAGCGUCUAUCAUGUCUUCUAUGCACACCCUAAACACGAGUGAGGAAGCUGGGCAUGAUGACAUUCCAGCACUCAAGAGACAGAGGCAGGAUUUGAUGCCUGUACCAUCUAUGUAGUGAGUUCCAGGCUAUUCAAGGCUUCACAGUAAGUCCCUGUCUCAAGAAAAAAGAAAAUGUGUGUUCUUCAAGGAACCUGGUCUUGGGGAACAUAUAGAAAAAAAAAAAAGAAAUGGAUUGGAUAACUGAUACAAACAUGCCUAGUCCACAUAAGCCAUGAGAGUCUGUGGAAUACAAGGGGACGUAGUUAGGUUUGCAUAUUUAAGAUAUUACUGUAGCUGGAGAAUGGAGUUAGUGAGAAAAGAACAAAGGGAUGAAGGGACAUGGGUAGCCUAGGCAACAAGAAAUAUAAUCUUGGUGACAGUUGAGACACAUUUGGGGUAUAGCAUGAAAGGUAAUGACAAGACUGAAUGGUUGAUUGGGUGACAAGAGAGAGCAAACUCUUUACAAAUGGCCAUUGGGCUUAGCAUCUGGCAUCCGCAGUGUCACUGUAGACAGAUGUAUUAGUUUGCUUUUCUGUUGCUGUUCGAAAUUACAUAACCAAAACAAUCUGAAGAAGAAAGGGUCUGUUGAGCUUAUGGCUCCACAUCACAGUUCAUUAGGGGAAGUUAGCAUCGGAACCUGUACAGGAACCUGGAGGCAGGAACUGGAGAAGAGACCAUGGUUGAACACUACAUACUAGCUUUCUACUCAGCUCACUCAGCCUGAUUUUUGUAUACAAUCCAAGACCAUCAACCCAGGGUUGGCAUCACACACAGUAGACUGCACACUCUCAUAUCGAUCAUGAAUCAAGAAAAUGCCCCACAGUCUUGCCUACAAUCGAUGUGGUAGAGACAUUUUCUCAGUUAAGGGUCUCCCAUCCCAGAUGACUGUAGCUUGUAUCACAUUGACAAGAAAACUGACCAGAGCAUCUACCUCUUAGGAACCAGAUUUAGAUUCCUAAAUCCGAGAGUCUUUCCAUUCUUCAGCUCUAGACAGGGCAGUAGCAUCCCAGCACUUAGCAUUUUUUUUGUUACUCACAUUCCUACUUUAUUUAUAUCCUCAUUUAUUCCUUUUGAACUCAAAAUAUUCACGUGAAAACUUUUCUCAACUUAUCCAAUUAGUUCCAAAGUACAACAAGAAGGUAAAAAAAAAAAAGAAAAAAGAAAGAAACAAGAAUUUUGUAUCUCAUAACCCAGAUGUCUUAUUCACUGUUCUAGUAACGUGAAGAGACACCAUGAUCAAGGCAACUUGGAUUAAGGUUUCAGAGGGUCAGUCCCUGGUCCCUGCAGUGGGAAGCAGGCAGACCUAGAACUAGAGCAGGGGCUGAGAGCUUUAUAUCCUGAUCCAUGGACAGCAGGCUGAGAGAGGAGCCCUGGGCCCUGGUAGACACACUCACACUUACGUUCUUAUUCUAGAAGUUUGGUCAUCUCCGGGAACCAAUAAAACCAACUUAGAGUUCUGUUAACAUUUAAAUAACACCCCACCCUGUCAUUUGUUGAACAAAGGGUAUAAACUCUGCAGAAAUGUCUGUGAUGAGAACACAACUUUGCAGGAAAUGUCACUAAAUAAUCAUACUAAAUAAAAGCUCUGACAACCUUUAAAACUAUUUUCUAAGUUUAAACAAAAUGAUAACUCUCUUGUAAGUCAUGUUGACCGAAUGAUAAAACAACUACCUAUCAACAGCCCGGUGUCUGGCUGUUAAGUAUUGCUCAUCCUACCCCGGUUGAUUAUGUAAUUGCCCUCCUGUAUUCUCUUUGUCUGGCAUGCAGGAAAUGGCUGCUGCUUUGAUCCAAACUUGUUU
rnacentral:lncRNA from 1 species